UCAGUCCAAAGCAAAUACUUAGUCCUUUGAAAUAAAUGUCCAACGUGGAAACAAAAAUACUCAGAUCCUUGAGUGAAAAGAGUUUCGAUGCUUAGCAAAAAAUGUGUCCAAAAAGUAAAAAACAGGUUUACACAAUAUUUCCUACCAGUGUGAUGAACAACUUCCAGAUUCUAUGAAAUGGGAUGGCUCGCCAGUUUCUGCAACCGUGUGUCUCUCUCUCUCUCGAUGGACAGCAGAAACAAUUCUCCCAAACGUCAACAAAACUCCAGAUCCAGAAUCAGCAUUGCUCUCAGGAACAUCAAUAAACAAAGAAGAGAGAGAGAAAAGAAAAGAAACCAACAAAAAAAAAAAAAACCCAACCUUGCAAAACAAGGCAGAAAAUUACAAUUAAUAUCAGAGCUCUCAAUAUCAAAAGCAUAUUUCAGUAACACACUGAAAAAAUGUACAAUUGCACUCACAAUAUACACAUCUCUUUUUUCUUUAAACACAUUUCUCAUUAAAAUACAACAACUGAUUUGCUCAACUUACUCAACCCAUAUAAAUCAAUGCGUUAGCCAUUAGCUAAGACCGCAUGGUUAGCAUAACUCCCUGUGCUUAGCAUCACACUUUCAGCACAUAUUAUUGACAUAAAAUAACCAUUUGACCACAAAUCAACAUAUAUACACAUAUAUUUUUCUUCUAAAACAUUGAACAGAAAUAAAGCAUAAUUUAGACGUUUGUUUUGUAGUGAAACACUACACUAACUAAUUUAUAUAAAGGACAGACAAAUACAUAUACAUGUAAUUCACUUACCAAGAAAAAUAGUGAGUAAACAGAACAAUCCCGGAUGGAAAAAUAAAAAUCUCUCUUUUGGUUUCUCUCGAGUGAAUUAACUUUUUUCUGUUUCCUAUUCUCUUCAGAUCCAGUGCAAUCGCGAUCGUCUAAUGUGCUGGCUCUUGUAACCUGGGUUACAUCCUCCCUCACGGAAUAUAUGCACGUCCCUGUGCAUUUACACAUCGAUGAUAGGGGGAAC
ensembl:lncRNA